CUUAUAAGGGUAUAGAAAAAUCUCUCCCUGAUAGACGCGUUUUAAAACUGUGAGGCUGACAACGAUACGUAACGAACCAAAACGGACAAUGUCUA